AGUGUAUGUAUCUAUAUGACAAAAUAUAUGGAUUCAGAGUACUUUUAUAUGAAAAAAUUGCAAAAAAGGCUACUUCCGGUUUUCUCAAGGUCAUUUCCGGUAGUCAUUUUUCAAGGUCAUUUGUCACGUAACCUUUUGUACAAGGUCAAAUACCUUUAUAAUGAACUUAGUUAAAGUCAUAAUCAAAUAACCUCAUAUCAAGACAUUUCAGGGGCACCAACUGAUAUAAGAUGCCAUUAAAUUGUAUAAGACCAAAUUUAGCAUAUCUUUAUUACAAUAGCGCAGACA
rnacentral:lncRNA from 1 species